UCCGGGUGCCGCCUCCGCAGGCCGGGGCUGUGGCGCGGGCGGCCCGCGGGGCUCCCCCGGGGGAAACUUAGAGAAGUCUCCAACUUGGCGUGGGCUCCGUGGGAAGGAAGGCGCUCUCCGCUCCUCCCGCAGCGACCGCGGGCCGGCAGGUGGGGCGGCCCCGAGCUCUCCAGCCUGGCGUCCGAAGGAGCCUCCACGUCGUCCAAGGGCAGCUCCAGAGCAGAGGCAGGGUGCCUCCUCCACAUCCCAGGUAUCCGUGCUGCCUCCUCCUGGAUGCCUGCUCUGACGAUGAGCUCACUACCGAACAAGGCCACCUGCUCAUCCAUCAAGCCCGCAUUGCCACCAAAUCCGCCUGUCAGAAAGAGAGAAAAAGAAAAGAAUCCACGAGUGAGCAUUCAAAGCACCGCCUCCGCGUGGGAACGGGCAAUGGUGCGGCCACGUUGGGAAACAGUCUGGCAGGGCCUCAGACGGGUAAACACUGAGUUGUCGCAUGAUCCAGCAAUUCCACUCCUAGGUAUGUACCCGCGGGAAAUGAAAACGUGUCCACACAAAAGCUUGUAGGUGAGUGUUCAUAGCAGUGUUGUUCGAAAUAGCCAAAAGGUGAGACAGGACAGUGUCUGUCAGUUGAUGAAUGGAUACACACAAUGUGGUAUAUCCAUACAAUAGAAUAUUAUUAGUCCAUAAAAAGGAAUGAAAUGCUGAUGUGUGCUACAUCAUGGAUGAGCCUCAAAAACAUCGUGCCAAGUGAAAGAAGCCAGUCACAGAGGACGACAUUCCAUUUACAUGAAAUGUCCAGAAUAGGCAAAUCCAUAGAUACAGUCAACUGGUGGUUGCCAGAGGCUGAGAGAAGAGAAUGAGGAAUGACUGCUGACGGUUAUGAGGUUUUUGGGGGGAUGAUGAAAAUGAUCUAAAAUUGAUUACGGUGAUGGUUGCACAAUGUCGUGGCUAUACUAAAAACCAUUGAAUUCUAUGCUUUAAGUCAGUGAAUUGUAUAUUAUGUGAAUUAUAUCUCCAUAAAACUAUUCUUUAAAAAAAAAAAAAAAGGAAAAAAAGGUACAGCCUCCAGGAGGUCACUGUGACUGCUCCAGGCCACACCACUUCCCCCUCUGGCCAGUUUCCUACGGGCUCCCCUCAUGGGCAGAGCCACGCCCCACUGACAUUUCCUCUCCUGCAGAGGCUACACUGGCUCCUCCCUGGAUGGGAGUCAUCUUCUCACCACCUGCCUGGCUUUGAGGACAGCCCUAUGUUCAAAUCCAACCCCGGGGCCUUCUAGCUGCGUGGCCUUGGGCAAGGCUCUUCCCAGAGCCUCACCUUGCUCAUCUGUGAAAGUGAUGAGUACCAAUGAGUGGGCUGGUGAGAAGACACGCCCCUGGGGCACCAUUGUUAUCCCCUAGUUCUUCCUAAAACGAGCCUGCAGGCCACUCCUGGGCUUCCUCAGGGAAGUGGUCUAUGCAACUACUGCCCCUAGAAAAGUCCUUUAGGCCCUUCUAGGCUGAUCUGCACUGUCAGUGACCCACUCUCCAUGCCACCUUCCCGCUGAAAAAAGGUUUCCUUCAGCUUCCUGGACAGCUGCUGAGAAAUGCAGGACAAGCCUCUCGACACAUCCCCACGGAGGCCCCCUCAAGGCCCCACUGCUCACCUGUUCUGAGAAGCCAGAAUUCUUCAGGUGGGCACCAGAUGAGGCCCCACCACGAUGCUGUUGCUGUCUCCUGCAGUGGCCCCCCAGGCGCCAAACCCAGCUGGAAGCCAGAGGACUUGGGAUUCAUUGGAAAGGUUCAGAUUUCUGAACAAUUAUGCUGGCUGAAGAAGCACUCUGGAGGUCCUGGUCACCUGUGGCAUCUGACCCUGGUCUCCUGACCUCCUUCUUCUCUGAGACUCCAGGUGGCAGGAAGGGAAGGACAAUCAGGGAAAUCAAGGAAGGUCUGGACAAGGAGGAGGUAGCCCUUGAGUGGUCCUUGAAGGGCUCAGCCCUUAGCACUGGCCACAGGGAGGGGAAGACAGCAGGCUCAAGAAGUCUCUGGUUUUCCUGGCUAUCACAUCCGCCCUCUUGGCAGCACUUGAAGUGAGGGAAUGAAAGAGAUGGAAACAGUGACCUCUGGGAAACAAAGCCACAUUUUUGACAAAAGGCCAGAUGAUUAAUCAUUAGCAGCUCAUCAUCUCUAAGUUGGCUCAUCUACCAGAAGGCAAGCCAGGAGGCUAGGGCUUUCCUCUAGGAAGCAGAGCUGUCAGGCACUACAGUCCUACUGUGCACCAAGGUUGGGGGAGGGCUCCAAGGGCAAGGACACAUAAGACAUGAUUUCUGCCCCUCCCUCAGGAACUUGGGUUCUGGAAGGCAAUCUUUAACCAAUUCAUUCACAUAUGCCUAGGUUGGAGGCUCAGGAUAAUGAAUACAUGGGGAAAGAGUCUGGGUACACAGUAUCAGUUAUUCAUUGAUGCAUAACAAAUUAUCCUCUAACAGGGUUAAAUAACAAUGAACUUUUAAAAAAUCAGUUUCUGGGGGUCAGGAAUUCAGGAGCAGCUUAACUGGUUGGUUCAGGCUCAGGAUCUCUCAUGACGCUGCAGUCGAGAUGAAAUUAGGCAGCCAUUUUAGGCUGUGAGGCAGAAGCUCUAUGCUGAGGAAGGCAGAGCAACAACAGAGAAGGAGGCUGGGUCACUGGCCCCGUGGAGUGCCACACCAGCCCUGGACUAAACACCCUCAUCUUCUUCUACAUGAGAGAGAAAUAAAAUCCUAUCCUGUUUAAGCCACUGUUAUUUGAGGGUUUCCUAGAGUAGAAUUUCAACAGGGAGAAAUUAGGCAGUGCACCCGAAUGGGAGGAGAUGUUAUAAGAAAGGCCUAAGAAGCAGGACCUUACUUACCUCUUAAGAUAGUGAUGGAGGAAACUGAAUUACAGGCACACCUCACUCUAUUGAGCUUUGCUUUAUUGUGCUUUGCAGAUACUGCAUAUUUUACAAAUUGAAAGUUUGUGGCAAUUCUGUGUUGAUCAAGUCUAUCAGUGCUAUGUUUCCAACAGCAUAGUCUCGCUCUGUGUCUCUGUGUCACAUUGGGUAAUUCUUGUAAUAUUCAUAUUUCAAACUUUUUCAUUAUUAUUAUAUCUGUUAUGGUGAUCUGU